UAUCCGUAGGUGAACCUGCGGAAGGAUCAUUAUUGUAUAACCGAGGUGCGAGGGCUGUCGCUGACCCGAAAGGUCGUGCACGCCCGAGUGCCCUCACACAUCCAUCUCACCCCUAUGUGCACCACCGCGUGGGUCCCCCUUUGGCUUGUUCGGAGGGGGGCUUACGUUUUCACACAAACUUUGUAUGCAGUGUAGAAUGUAUUUUUUGUUUUUGCGAUCACGCAAUCAAUACAACUUUCAACAACGGAUCUCUUGGCUCUC
rnacentral:misc_RNA from 1 species